AAGCCUGAUCCAGCAAUUCUGUGUGCACGAUGAAGGUCUUCGGAUUGUAAAGUGCUUUCAGUUGGGAAGAAGAAAGUGACGGUACCAACAGAAGAAGCGACGGCUAAAUACGUGCCAGCAGCCGCGGUAAUA
rnacentral:rRNA from 1 species